CGGCAGGCCUAACACAUGCAAGUCGAGGGGCAGCAUAGAUAGCUUGCUAUCUGAUGGCGACCGGCGCACGGGUGCGUAACGCGUAUACAACCUACCUAUUACUGAGGGAUAGCCCGAAGAAAUUUGGAUUAAUACCUCAUAGAAUUAUAAGAUGGCAUCAUUUAAUAAUUAAAGGUUACGGUAAUAGAUGGGUAUGCGUCCUAUUAGCUAGAUGGUGAGGUAACGGCUCACCAUGGCGACGAUAGGUAGGGGUCCUGAGAGGGAGAUCCCCCACACUGGUACUGAGACACGGACCAGACUCCUACGGGAGGCAGCAGUGAGGAAUAUUGGACAAUGGAGGCAACUCUGAUCCAGCCAUGCCGCGUGUAGGAAGACGGCCCUAUGGGUUGUAAACUACUUUUGUACGGGAAGAAAUACAGUCACGUGUGAUUGUUUGACGGUACCGUAAGAAUAAGCACCGGCUAACUCCGUGCCAGCAGCCGCGGUAAUACGGAGGGUGCAAGCGUUAUCCGGAAUCAUUGGGUUUAAAGGGUCCGUAGGCGGGUAAUUAAGUCAGUGGUGAAAUGCAGGGGCUCAACUCCGGCACUGCCAUUGAUACUGGUUAUCUUGAAUUAUUGUGAAGUGGUUAGAAUAUGUAGUGUAGCGGUGAAAUGCUUAGAUAUUACAUAAAAUACCGAUUGCGAAGGCAGAUCACUAACAAUAUAUUGACGCUGAUGGACGAAAGCGUGGGGAGCGAACAGGAUUAAAUACCCUGGUAGUCCACGCCCUAAACGA
rnacentral:rRNA from 1 species